AUCUAGCUGAUGAGUUCCAAAUAAGAUGAAACUCUAGUUUUAGAU
rfam:Schistosoma rodhaini strain Burundi genome assembly, scaffold: SROB_scaffold0002857